GCUAUAGCUUACAUAGCUAAAAUAAACAGCAUGUUGUUUUUUUGGCUUUUUUUUUCAGCAUAAAGCAGUGCUGUGAACAAGCAAGGAAAAUAAGUGAAAGGGGAGGAAGUACUUCAGCCUGAGGAGAGCAUUCUAGGGAGCUGCAAGCAUGCACAGGUACACUGGAACACUCCAGUAGCCCAGCAGAUCACUCCUCGGGCCCCCUCCCAGCCUGCUGCCAGCACAAGAACACAGAAUCCUGUUCAUGUCUUCCAUCGGCUCCUGAGGAUUCCAGAGACUUUUCGAGAGGCUCAGGAACUUCAUAUUUAUAGAGCAUUCUCAGCUGUGGUGAUAUCUACUUCGCAG
rnacentral:lncRNA from 1 species